UGGGGAAUCUUGCACAAUGGGGGAAACCCUGAUGCAGCGACGCCGCGUGAGCGAUGAAGGUUUUCGAAUCGUAAAGCUCUGUCCUAUGGGAAGAUAAUGACGGUACCAUGGGAGGAAGCCCCGGCUAACUACGUGCCAGCAGCCGCGGUAAUACGUAGGGGGCGAGCGUUGUCCGGAAUUACUGGGCGUAAAGGGUUCGCAGGCGGCAUGGCAAGUCCGAUGUAAAAGGCGAAGGCUCAACCUUCGUAAGCAUCGGAAACUGUCAAGCUUGAGUGAAGGAGAGGCAAGUGGAAUUCCUAGUGUAGCGGUGGAAUGCGUAGAUAUUAGGAGGAAUACCGGUGGUGAAGGCGACUUGCUGGACUUCAACUGACGCUGAGGAACGAAAGCGUGGGUAGCAAACAGG
rnacentral:rRNA from 1 species